UUUUUUUUUUUUUUUUAAAGUAAAUACACAUAAUGAUUAAAUAAUAAUUUUGUGCCCAGUGUUUGGAGGACAAAAUCCCCUGGCCUGAGCUGAGCAUAUGUCACAGGGACCCCGUCACCCCCAGUUCAAGCUCCAGGAGAGGCCUCCCUGAGUGCGGGAUGUUUAAACCCAGACCGGGGGCGGUGUGGGAGUGGGCAGGGGGCUUCCUACAGCCCAGGCGUGCCAUUUCCUGAAGCAGCCACCCCAGGAUGGCCUGAGUCCAUUCACACCUGGGUGUCGCUAUUUAAAUGACUGGCUUCUAUCCAUGCCUUCCCAUUCUAAGGGUGAGGCACCUGGUUCCAAAUAAGCGGAAUCUGUGCAUUUCACGUUCUCCAGUCCCAGGUCAGCCGUCCAGGCUGCCUUCUGCUGCCCCAUCCCUUGUCACUUCAAAAAGAGAACCAAAGCCCCUUCCGUGGUGCUUCCCAUCCCAUGCUCCUGGCAGCCCUGGAGCUGGGGCCCUGGGGACCCGGGACUCUCACAAACUCCCUGGCUCCAACUCUGACAGCCAGCUCCACGCAGGGUCAGGGCACUGGCAUUUGGAAACCACCCACAGUCAGCAAUUUUAUUGAAAAUCAAAUGAAAAGGAAUAAAAGUAAGGGUUGUUUAGGGAGAAGCCUUUUGAGUUUGCUGUUUUCUUUUUCCCUGGGCAUUCGGACAAAUAUGUGGGCUGGUAUGAGACUGACUGACCCUUUCUUGCCCUGAAACAAUCUUGAAUGCAGAGUCUCAAAACGCAUUUGAGGUGCCCGUCAGCCACUGUCACGGGCCUCAGGAGGUGAUUUUUAAAUCCAUCUUAAGGUGCAAAGAGCUUAAGAGAUGGUCCUAACAGACCCUUCCACGGAAAUCCUCCCAGAGUCUCCUCUCCGCCCUCUGAGGAAGGCAGGAUCCACAUUCAUCCCUGUUUGACAGAUGAGGAAACUGAGGGUCACGUAGCAAGUGGCAGAGCUGAAACGCGACUGGCCACCCAGCCCUCUUGCACCAGGUAUACGUGCAGCCUGAAGGCUGGUGGCAUGGCUUUGCAGGAGACGGGAUUGGCAAGGUGAAUCCUGUUGGAAAGAAACCUGCAAACCACAGUAGUGUCCCCAGUGUCUCCAGAAUUGUGUGGGCGAGAGACCUUGGGUUGCAGUUAACAAAAACCUACUCAGAAAGGGGGCGCAGUGGGGGCCUUUUAUAAGAAUACAGAAAUAAGUGCCUUAUUAAAGCUCCAGGAGAGAACGAGGAAGAUACCCAGGCAUCGUCUCGUGCAUGCAUGCACUGGAGCACACACAUGUAUCUAUGUCAUUCCUCUGCCCCUCUCUAUACUGCCCCCCUGCUUAUUUCUUCUCUCUCCAGUUGUAUGACAGGAAGGGACAACCUCCCAGGCCCGCAGUUAAAAGGGCCAGCCCAGGGAGCAAGUGGCAUCUCACAACCCAUUACCCCAACUGUUGGGAGUGGGCAUCGGAAAAGCCCAGCUGUGCCAAGUGUCCAAUCAGCUACGACCUGGGAGGGGGUCAUACACCCGGCCACCAGAAUGCCCCCUCCUUCGAGCUGGGAGGUCCUCAAAGGGUUAAACAGACCCUCCCUUAAACAUACUUCACUUUCUCCUUCUAAGCCAAGCUUGUCCAACCGGAGGCCCAGGACAGCUUUGAAUACAGCCCGACACAAAUUGGUAAACUUUCUUAAAACACUAUAGGAAUUUUUUUUUUUUUUUUUAGCUCAUCAGCUACUGUUAGUGUUCAUGUAUUUUCCAUGUGGCCCAAGACAACUAUUCUUCUUCCAGUGUAGCCCAGGGAAGCCAAAAGAUUGGACACCCAGUUCUAAGCCAUCAGAGACAUUAGACACAUUCAGUUCAGUUAACAGCUUUUUAGGAAGAACACCAUCACAACGAAUGUGCUUGCCAUAACAACCCCCCUCCCAUAUUUUUUAGGUUUCAAACUAAAAAA